rnacentral:rRNA from 1 species
GACGAACGCUGGCGGUGUGCCUAAUACAUGCAAGUCGUACGCAUUCUCGUUUCUGAUUGACGGUGCUUGCACCUAAUUGACGAGACAUUGGAAUGAGUGGCGGACGGGUGAGUAACACGUGGGUAACCUGCCCAGAAGUGGGGGAUAACAUUUGGAAACAGAUGCUAAUACCGCAUAAAAGUCUAAACCACAUGGUUUUGAUUUAAAAGAUGGCCUUUGUGCUAUCACUUCUGGAUGGACCCGCGGCGUAUUAGCUAGUUGGUAAGGUAACGGCUUACCAAGGCAAUGAUACGUAGCCGAACUGAGAGGUUGAUCGGCCACAAUGGGACUGAGACACGGCCCAUACUCCUACGGGAGGCAGCAGUAGGGAAUCUUCCACAAUGGGCGCAAGCCUGAUGAGCAACACCGCGUGAGUGAAGAAGGGUUUCGGCUCGUAAAACUCUGUUGUUAAAGAAGAACGUAUCUAAGAGAACUGCUUAGGUAGUGACGGUAUUUAACCAGAAAGCCACGGCUAACUACGUGCCAGCAGCCGCCGUAA